GUGUACAGUUUCUGUGUGGUGG
rnacentral:misc_RNA from 1 species